rfam:Cricetulus griseus cell line CHO-K1, whole genome shotgun sequence.
UGGCUCAGAGGUUAAGAGCACUGGCUGCUCUUCCAGAGGUUCUGAGUUCAAUUCUCAG